AACGUAGGUGGCGAGCGUUAUCCGGAUUUACUGGGCGUAAAGGGUGUGCAGGCUGCCCCUCAAGUGGUGUAUGAAAGGGCUCGGCUCAACCGGGCUAGGUUAUGCCAGACUGAGGGGCUAGAGAGCGAGAGCGGGACGUGGAAUUCCGGGUGUAGUGGUGAAAUGUGUAGAGAUCGGGAGGAACACCGGUGGCGAAGGCGGGUCUCUGGGCAUCUCCUGACGCUGAGGCGCGAAAGCGUGGGGAGCAAACGGG
rnacentral:rRNA from 1 species